rnacentral:rRNA from 1 species
GACGAACGCUGGCGGCAUGCCUAAUACAUGCAAGUCGAACGAGCGGCGGACGGGUGAGUAAUGUAUGGGGACUGCCCGAUAGAGGGGGAUAACUACUGGAAACGGUGGCUAAUACCGCAUACUAUCGGAUAACCCAUAUGGGAUUAGCUAGUAGGUGGGGUAAAGGAUCACCUGGGCGACGAUCUCUCGCUGGUCUGAGAGGAUGAUUAGCCACACUGGGACGGGGACACGGCCCAGACUCCUAGGGAGGCAGCAGUGGGGAAUAUUGCACAAGGGGCGAAAGCCUGAUGCAGCCAUGCCGCGGGUAUGAAGAAGGCCUUAGGGUUGUAAAGUACUUUCAGCGGGGAGGCGUUACCCGCAGAAGAAGCACCGGCUAACUCCGUGCCAGCAGCCGCGGUAAUUC